GAUGAACGCUAGCGGGAGGCCUAACACAUGCAAGCCGAGCGGUAGAGUUCCUUCGGGAACUUGAGGGCGGCGUACGGGUGCGUAACACGUGUGCAACCUACCUUUAUCUGGGGGAUAGCCUUUCGAAAGGAAGAUUAAUACCCCAUAAUAUAUUGGAUGGCAUCAUUUAAUAUUGAAAGCUCUGGUGGAUAGAGAUGGGCACGCGCAAGAUUAGAUAGUUGGUGAGGUAACGGCUCACCAAGUCUGUGAUCUUUAGGGGUCCUGAGAGGGAGAUCCCCCACACUGGUACGGAGACACGGACCAGACUCCUACGGGAGGCAGCAGUGGGGAAUAUUGGACAAUGGGUGAGAGCCUGAUCCAGCCAUCCCGCGUGAAGGAUGACGGUCCUAUGGAUUGUAAACUUCUUUUGUACAGGAAUAAACCUAUUUACGUGUAAAUAGCUGAAGGUACUGUACGAAUAAGCACCGGCUAACUCCGUGCCAGCCGCCGCGGUAA
rnacentral:rRNA from 1 species